CAGUCGCCGCGGGAAUACGAAGGGUGCAAGCGUUAAUCGGAAUUACUGGGCGUAAAGCGCGCGUAGGUGGUCGGGUAAGUCGGAUGUGAAAUCCUGGGGCUCAACCUCAGAACUGCAUUCGAUACUGCUCGGCUAGAGGACUGGAGAGGAGAGUGGAAUUCACGGUGUAGCAGUGAAAUGCGUAGAUAUCGUGAGGAAGACCAGCGGCGAAGGCGGCUCUCUGGACAGUUCCUGACGCUGAUGCACGAAGGCCAGGGGAGCAAACGGGAUUAGAUACCCCUGUAGUCCCUGUCUCUUAUAC
rnacentral:rRNA from 1 species